CCCAGUCUGGCAUAGUGGUUUGAGUGUUGGACUGUGAUUCUGGAGAUCAGGCUUCAAUUCCCCACUAGGA